CUCCUUCUUCAUCAACGGUAGAAAAUUUUAUCUCCGAUACAGAAAUGCUCGACAAUGAAGACUUCCAGGAGGCUCAAGUUCCUUAUGAAGAUCUUAAUAAAUUUUUACUUGAGGGCAUCAGUCAUGAAUAAAGUAUGGCUCAAAGAUGCAUAAUGACGCAUGCCAUGAUGUAAUUUUAAUUUUUUACUAUUAACUUUUUGACUUUUGUUGUUUUGCUUUUUGAAAUUUUUAGCUUGUUGUCGGAAGCCUUUGGCUAUAAAUAAGCUUAAGACCUCACAUGUUUGGGGCACCACUAGAUAAGAAACAUAAGUAAGUUUUUAUAUUCUCUCUCUUGUAAAAAUUCUCUUGUACGUGUGAAGUUUGAAGCAUUGAAGAAAUUCUUCUUAUGUAAGUGUUUUAUUAUGAGUUUAAAUCCUGUAGCGUUCAAUAAUAUUUUUUACGCUCCAUAUGAUUAUAUCAU
rnacentral:lncRNA from 1 species